rnacentral:rRNA from 1 species
CAGCCGCCGCGGUAAUACGAAGGGUGCAAGCGUUAAUCGGAAUUACUGGGUGUAAAGCGUGCGUAGGCGGUGAGUUAAGUCUGCUGUGAAAUCCCCGGGCUCAACCUGGGAAUGGCAGUGGAUACUGGCUCGCUAGAGUGUGUCAGAGGAUGGUGGAAUUCCCGGUGUAGCGGUGAAAUGCGUAGAGAUGUGGAGGAAUACCGAUGGCGAAGGCAGCCCCCUGGGCCAAUACUGACGCUCAUGCACGAAAGCGUGGGGAGCAAACAGGAUUAGAGACCCCAGUAGUCCCUGUCUCUUAUAC